UGCAAGGUAUAGACAGCCUGCUCACAUGGGCC
rnacentral:piRNA from 1 species